GAUGGCGUGGAUGUUGAGAAUAUCCUGGUUCUAUUCCCAUGGCUGGGGUCAAUCCGAAUGCUGGGAAGGCGUUGGAUUUGGUUCGGAAGAAGAUAAGGAUGAUAGUUUCGAAGCAGGGGAUGGCUGGGAGUUAAUCCGGAAGGGGAGUUCUAAUCCGUGGAUGCUAGAGAUCAAGCUGGUUUGGAUUUGGAAGAGAAAAUAUGGAAUACAUGCUGUGACACAAGUGGAUCUCAUCCGGAAGUUGGGGAAGAUGGAAUGAACGAGCUGGCUCUAUUUUGCAAGCUGGGAUGUUGGGAUCUCUUGCAUGCAUCACGGGAGGAUUGGGCAUGGCGGACGGCUGGGAGGCUUGGGAUUUGAAGGUUGGCAGUUGAGAUAUAACGGAGCAGGGGAUGCGGAAGGGAGUGAUCGAAAUAUGAAGCUUGGGACUCGGCUUGAUUCGAACGGGUGAAGAAAUCAGGGGAGAGAA
rnacentral:lncRNA from 1 species